GUAUUAUUGGACCAAUGCGCUUUAGCUUUACUGCCGAGUCCAUCAGCUGAACAACACCCGCUGAUUCAGAAUAUUUGAGCUGUGGUAUCAAGAUGGAUGCUGACAAUGAAGCCAAAGGGAAGGUGAGCGACCAGGCGAUGCAGAACCCACAAGCGUUGGCAGCUCUUCAGGACAAAAUAGACAGUGUCUCACAUAGUGCUUCCAUCAUGGACAGGUAAGCAAGAUGAA